rnacentral:rRNA from 1 species
GAGGUGAGUAAUGCUUAGGAAUCUGCCUAUUAGUGGGGGACAACAUCUCGAAAGGGAUGCUAAUACCGCAUACGUCCUACGGGAGAAAGCAGGGGACCUUCGGGCCUUGCGCUAAUAGAUGAGCCUAAGUCGGAUUAGCUAGUUGGUGGGGUAAAGGCCUACCAAGGCGACGAUCUGUAGCGGGUCUGAGAGGAUGAUCCGCCACACUGGGACUGAGACACGGCCCAGACUCCUACGGGAGGCAGCAGUGGGGAAUAUUGGACAAUGGGGGGAACCCUGAUCCAGCCAUGCCGCGUGUGUGAAGAAGGCCUUUUGGUUGUAAAGCACUUUAAGCGAGGAGGAGGCUACCGAGAUUAAUACUCUUGGAUAGUGGACGUUACUCGCAGAAUAAGCACCGGCUAACUCUGUGCCAGCAGCCGCGGUAAUACAGAGGGUGCAAGCGUUAAUCGGAUUUACUGGGCGUAAAGCGCGCGUAGGUGGCCAAUUAAGUCAAAUGUGAAAUCCCCGAGCUUAACUUGGGAAUUGCAUUCGAUACUGGUUGGCUAGAGUAUGGGAGAGGAUGGUAGAAUUCCAGGUGUAGCGGUGAAAUGCGUAGAGAUCUGGAGGAAUACCGAUGGCGAAGGCAGCCAUCUGGCCUAAUACUGACACUGAGGUGCGAAAGCAUGGGGGAGCAAACAGGAUUAGAUACCCUGGGUAGUCCAUGCCGUAAACGAUGUCUACUAGCCGUUGGGGCCGUUUGAGGCUUUAGUGGCGCAGCUAACGCGAUAAGUAGACCCGCCU